CAGGCCUAACACAUGCAAGUCGAACGAUACCUUUCGGGGUAUAGUGGCGCACGGGUGCGUAACGCGUGGGAAUCUGCCCUUGGGUUCGGGAUAACCGUUGGAAACGACGGCUAAUACCGGAUGAUGACGUAAGUCCAAAGAUUUAUCGCCCAGGGAUGAGCCCGCGUAGGAUUAGCUAGUUGGUGGGGUAAAGGCCUACCAAGGCGACGAUCCUUAGCUGGUCUGAGAGGAUGAUCAGCCACACUGGGACUGAGACACGGCCCAGACUCCUACGGGAGGCAGCAGUGGGGAAUAUUGGACAAUGGGCGAAAGCCUGAUCCAGCAAUGCCGCGUGAGUGAUGAAGGCCUUAGGGUUGUAAAGCUCUUUUACNCCGGGAUGAUAAUGACAGUAUCGGGAGAAUAAGCCACGUCUAUCAUCGUGCCAGCAG
rnacentral:rRNA from 1 species